rnacentral:rRNA from 1 species
AACGAACGCUGGCGGCACGCCUAACACGUGCAAGUCGAACGAGAUCUUCGGGUCUAGUGGCGCACGGGUGCGUAACGCGUGGGAAUCUGCCCUUUGGUUCGGAAUAACAGUUGGAAACGACUGCUAAUACCGGAUGAUGACGAAAGUCCAAAGAUUUAUCGCCAGAGGAUGAGCCCGCGUAGGAUUAGCUAGUUGGUGUGGUAAAGGCGCACCAAGGCGACGAUCCUUAGCUGGUCUGAGAGGAUGAUCAGCCACACUGGGACUGAGACACGGCCCAGACUCCUACGGGAGGCAGCAGUGGGGAAUAUUGGACAAUGGGCGAAAGCCUGAUCCAGCAAUGCCGCGUGAGUGAUGAAGGCCUUAGGGUUGUAAAGCUCUUUUACCCGGGAUGAUAAUGACAGUACCGGGAGAAUAAGCUCCGGCUAACUCCGUGCCAGCCGCCGCAGUAA